CCUACGGGGGGCAGCAGUGAGGAAUAUUGGUCAAUGGGCGCGAGCCUGAACCAGCCAAGUCGCGUGAGGGAAGACGGUCCUAUGGAUUGUAAACCUCUUUUGUCGGGGAGCAAAAGACGCCACGCGUGGCGUUCCGAGAGUACCCGACGAACAAGCAUCGGCUAACACCGUGCCAGCCGCCGCGGUAAUACGGAGGAUGCGAGCGUUAUCCGGAUUUAUUGGGUUUAAGGGGUGCGCAGGCGGAAGUUCAAGUCAGCGGUAAAAUUGAGGGGCUCAACCUCUUCGAGCCGUUGAAACUGGUAGGCUGGAGUGAGCGAGAAGUAGGCAGAAUGCGUGGUGUAUCGGUGAAAUGCAUAGAUAUCACGCAGAACUCCGAUUGCGAAGGCAGCAUACCGGAGCGAAACUGACGCUCAUGCACGAAAGUGUGGGUAUCGAACAGGAUUAGAUACCCCUGUAGUC
rnacentral:rRNA from 1 species